rnacentral:precursor_RNA from 12 species
UGGAAAAGAUGUGAGACAAGGAGCUUGUUGAGCAGCUGAGUGAUUUAAAAGCAAUCAAAUUCUUACAGCUUUAAAUCAUGCAGCUGUUGAACAAGUUCUUUCUUCAUUUGUCCCAAGUCC